GUGAAAUUAAGCGUGUCUGCUUCGGCAGAGCGUGACCUCUCACUCUUCUCACACUGUGCACACUUAGGCGGACUCGGAUUGAAAGAUCUGUCUGCGUCUUCAUUCAUAACACGAGUUGAUGUAUGUCAAAACUUUAUAAACUAAA
rnacentral:misc_RNA from 1 species